rnacentral:rRNA from 1 species
UAUCCUGGAGUGGGGGAUAGCCCGGCGAAAGCCGGAUUAAUACCGCAUACGAUCCCUGGAUGAAAAUCUGGGGAUGAAAGUGGGGGACCGCAAGGCCUCACGCUCAAGGAGCGGCCGAUGUCCGAUUAGCUAGUUGGUGAGGUAAAGGCUCACCAAGGCGACGAUCGGUAGCUGGUCUGAGAGGAUGAUCAGCCACACUGGGACUGAGACACGGCCCAG